rnacentral:rRNA from 1 species
CCUACGGGAGGCAGCAGUGAGGAAUAUUGGUCAAUGGGCGCAAGCCUGAACCAGUGACGCCGCGUGCGGGAUGAAGGGGCUUUGCCUCGUAAACCUCUGUCGGAUGGGACGAAAGGUGGCUUUGAGCCACUGGGACGGUACCAUCAAAGGAAGGAUCGGCUAACUACGUGCCAGCAGCCGCGGUAAUA